CUCCUGGAAACGGGUGGUAAUGCCGGAUGUUCCACAUGAGCGCAUGCGAGUGUGGGAAAGGCUUUUUGCGGCAUGGGAUGGGGUCGCGUCCUAUCAGCUUGUUGGUGGGGUAACGGCCUACCAAGGCGUUGACGGGUAGCCGGCCUGAGAGGGCGACCGGCCACAUUGGGACUGAGAUACGGCCCAGACUCCUACGGGAGGCAGCAGUGGGGAAUAUUGCACAAUGGGCGCAAGCCUGAUGCAGCGACGCCGCGUGCGGGAUGGAGGCCUUCGGGUUGUAAACCGCUUUUGUCGGGGAGCAAGCCUUCGGGUGAGUGUACCCUUCGAAUAAGCACCGGCUAACUACGUGCCAGCAGCCGCGGUAAUACGUAGGGUGCAAGCGUUAUCCGGAAUUAUUGGGCGUAAAGAGCUCGUAGGCGGUUCGUCGCGUCCGGUGUGAAAGUCCAUCGCUUAACGGUGGAUCUGCGCCGGGUACGGGCGGGCUGGAGUGCGGUAGGGGAGACUGGAAUUCCCGGUGUAACGGUGGAAUGUGUAGAUAUCGGGAAGAACACC
rnacentral:rRNA from 1 species